GGUCUCUGUAUGAAACUCUGGACUACCAUCAGUAAGUGUAGACAAUACUGAGCCAGGAGGAUCAAUGGGGGUACCAGAGCAGAGGAAGUCUUAGUGUGACCUGUUGUUUUCUUCUGCAGAUAAAAGUUGGGUUUUUAAAUGCCAUAACCGAUUCCCAUUGUCUACAUCUUUGCCCCCAAGUGAUCAUUAUCUGGUAUGAGGACAGGGAUGAUACUUGCACACAGUGGCCCUAUUUUUAUCUGUGAAAUGCAUUGCUUUCUUGUCCUGAACCCACUGUAUGGAUGCAGGUAGGGGAAAGAGGAGGAUGAAAGUUAACUGCAGUUUCAAACUCCUAUGCAUACCUGUAGCUUGUGCUCACUGGGAGGGAGAUGCCAUCAAUUGGCUCAAAAAUUCCAACAUAUGGCUCAAGAUAGCCAACCACGCUAGCUUAAUAAACUGCCAAUCAACUAGGCACAAAUUAUGGACUGUGGCAUCCCCAGUGAGGACAGCUUAGUGGAUCACUCAUCCACAUUUAACACUUUAAGAAACCACUGGAGAAAGCUGAUUCCCACUAGCCAGGGAUGGGGAAACUUGUCGCUCUCCAGAUGUGGUUGUACUCUGACCAUUGUCCCUGCUGGUUAGGGCAGAUGGGAGAGCUGCAGGGCAACAAGUUCCCCAAUCCCUACUAUAAACACAAUGGGAUGGUCAUUAGCUCUGAGGCUUUAACAAAUUAGGGAACAAGAAACGAAAAAGGGCAGGUCAUAGCACUUGCCAGAGAUUAUGAAGUUCUAAGAGUGUUUAAAAUCUAUAUGGAUCAUCAUGGCUCCCCGGAUUCCCUGGGGUCCUGCAUCAUUAGGAAAAUAAGAUCUGGCAAGGUCAGGGUGUUCUGCUCUGCUUGCUCACCCUUACAAUUAAAUCUUCACAGCCAUCCCUAUCUAGAUAUAGGUGCUAAUGCUGAUGACUCAUGUCCAACCUGCCAAAUCUUAUGCCCUCUAGCCUGAUGUAAAUUCCUUUGUCUCCCAGGAUCAUGUCUUAAUCUGCUCAUCUUCUUUUCCAGUUAUCUAAUAUAUCCCCCGUUGGCUACAUUACUGGCAACCAACAAAUUUUAAAAAGUUUUAGGAUCGUCAAUCAAUCUAUCUCCUUCCAAUUUCAGCCACGGACCAGUCAGGUUUUAAAAGUUAAGCCCAUAAUCCCCAAACAAACCAAUAUAGAAUCGUAAUCAUAGAAUGGUUGAGUUGGAAGGGACCAUGAGAGUCAUCUAGUCCAACCUCCUGCAAUGCAGGAAUCAUUCGCCCAGUGUGGGGCUCUAACCCAUGACUGUAAGAUUCAGAGUCUCCUGCUGUACCAACUGAGCUAUAUAAUAUUGGGUCUGAUGAAAGAUUUAUUUUUUAAUAAAUAAUGCAGACAAGUUCCUUUCCUCAACAUGAUGUUUCAAAGUGCCAACGCGUGAUCCUAUAACCUACCCCAAAAGUUUUAUAUCCCACCCACAUUAAAAAGGUCCCAGGGGCCCACUAAUCUCUCUAUAUAUUUUGGGAAGUUGUCCUUUCCUUUGCUGAGCAUUUGGAUACCUCUUAUGAUAUCUGAAGAUAGGAGGGGAGGAAACCAUGUAUGCCACCUUGAGGUCCAUGGAGAAAUACUGUAAAUAAUAAUAUUGUAACCACAGUUUGCAUGAUGGCUCCUGAGAUCAACAAACAGGUUUUAGUCUAUAUUUGGAUGCAAUUGGAUGCCAUUUUGAAUCAAGAUGACUGAUUGAAUCUUUCAAAACUGCACUGAUAUUUUGGGUUCUGAUAUUCCUGAGCAAAUCAGGUUAUGAGGCUGCCAUAAAGUAAAUAAGCAUUAAAAACAACUCAGUUAAUCUCUGUACAGUGGUACCUCGGGUUACAUACACUUCAGGUUACAUACGCUUCAGGUUACAGACUCCACUAACCCAGAAAUAGUACUCGGGUUAAGAACUUUGCUUCAGGAUGAGAACAGAAAUUGCACAGCAGCUGUGCGGCGGCAGCAGGAGGCCCCAUUAGCUAAAGUGGUGCUUCAGGUUAAGAACAGUUUCAGGUUAAGAACGGACCUCUGGAAUGAAUUAAGUACGUAACCAGAGGUACCAUUGUAUUAGAGAAGGAGUGUCUUUGUGGACUUAUUUUGAAUCUUACAAUAAUAUACACCAGAGCAGAUGUGCAUUAGAGUGCAGAAAAUUCAAGAUGAGUAUAUUCAAAACUUUUCACAUGGAGGCAAUGCAUGUAUACACAAGUCUGUGUUAGGAUUUUCACCAACCUAUCCAUAACAGAAAUAAAUAAUAUAGAACUUCUCUGAGCUUCACCACCUGCUUCAAAACAGACCUUCACACAGAUGAAAUGAAUUCAGGAAUGUGUGUGAUCAUGGCAACAGGAUGCUUUAUAUCUGUCUGAAACCAAAAUGCCAUUUGCCUUAUUCUCCCCACUCCUUUUUGUUUAGAUUUCCUACACAACAUGAAAAGCCUCCUGCAGUAUCAAGGAUAUGGAUGCACAACAUUUAUCUUCUGAAAGGACAUGGGAGGUCCAAAAAAGCACCUCCCCACACAUCCAGAGUUUGUCAUUAUCACACCAGUGUUUUGGCAGGCCUAUCAUCUGAUACAACUGCUGACAUUCAAGUUAAGGUUGCAAUGUGCCUUCAAAAAUGUUUGGUUUACGAAUGCGAAGCAAACUCUAAAUUAAGUGCACCAUCAACCAUUCAUGAAACAAUGCCUCCCUUUUGUCCAGCCAGUUAUUGCAUUCACAGUUUACAAAUUUGUAAAUUUGAUCUUACAUCAUCUGAAAACAUGCAAAAUUCACACAACAUCAACGCAAGUGGAAGACAUAACCUUUCCUAAAUGGUGACUUAAACCUCAGUUCAAGAUAGUGAUGUUCUUACCCUUGCCAUGACCUAAAUAAGUUUAAUUUUAAGUAUUUCAGUUCUUAUUCAUCUUGUUUAUUACACUUACUUGUUGCUUUUUACAUGAUACUGUCUCAAAGCAACUUAACAAAGUAAGAAAAGAAAUAUUAAAACCAAAUAUAAUAACAGCAAUAAAACAGGAACCUAAAAUGUUCAUCCAUAAAUAUAUAAGAAAAAGGACGGAUUCAACCAAACCCUUUUAAGUUGUUUAUAUAAUAACUAAAGUUGGGGUGCACAGUGAUGUGGCCACAUUUGCUGAUGAUAUUAAACUGCUCAGCAUCAUUCAUAUAUAUAUUCUCUCUCUCUCUCUCUCUCUCUCUCUCUCUCUCUCAUGGGACCUGAGCUGCCAGUGACUGACCAGGUAUGAGACCUUCCAUACAGUGGUACCUCAGGUUAAGUACUUAAUUCGUUCCGGAGGUCCGUACUUAACCUGAAACUGUUCUUAACCUGAAUCGCCGGAGUAUGAUUUCUGUUCUCAUCCUGAAGCAAAGUUCUUAACCUGAAGCACUAUUUCUGGGUUAGCGGAGUCUGUAACCUGAAGCGUAUGUAACCCAAGGUACCACUGUAUUAGGAAUCAUUAGGAAAGGAAUGGGGGGGGGGGCUUACAGUACCAUAAUGCCAUUAUAAAGAUCUAUGGUGUGACCACACUUGGAGUACUGUGUACAGUUCUGGCAACCUCACCUCAAAAAGGAUAUUGUCGAGUUGGAAAAAGUUCAGAAAAGAGCAACCAAAAUGAUCAAAGAGGAUGGAGAAAUGCUUCUUCAAGAAAAGGUUACAGCUUUGAGUAAGAGGGGGCAUGACAGAGCUUGUUGACACCCAAUGAAGUAAAAUGUUGGAAGAUUCAGAGAACACAAAAGAAAGUACUUCUUCACACAACACACUGCAGAAUUCGCUCCCACAAGAGGCAGUGAUGGCCAUCCACUUGGAUUGCUUUCAAAGAGGACUGGAAAAAUUCACAGGCGAGAAAGAGAUCCAUGGCUACCAGUUAUGAUGGCUGUGCUGUGCCUCCACAGUUGGAGGGAAUAAUGCUUCUGCUUUACCAGUUGUUGGAAAGCACAGAUUGCCAGCAACACACACGAGACAAGAAAGAUGGGUAUAUUUAUUAAAACAUAACAACUAUAGAAUUGGGAUAAAAGCAAUGACAAACCUAGACAUCUUAAAAAGCAGAGACAUCACCUUGCCAACAAAGGUCCGUAUAGUUAAAGCUGUGGUUUUCCCAGUAGUGAUGUAUGGAAGUGAGAGCUGGACCAUAAAGAAGGCUGAUUGCCAAAGAAUUGAUGCUUUUGAAUUAUGGUGCUGGAUGAGACUCUUGAGAGUCCCAUGGACUGCAAGAAGAUCAAACCUAUCCAUUCUUAAGGAAAUCAGCCCUGAGUGCUCACUGGAAGGACAGAUCCUGAAGCUGAGACUCCAAUACUUUGGCCACCUCAUGAGAAGAGAAGACUCCCUGGAAAAGACCCUGAUGUUGGGAAAGAUGGAGGGCACAAGGAAAAGGGAACAACAGAGGAUGAGAUGGUUGGACAGUGUUCUCGAAGCUACCAGCAUGAGUUUAACCAAACUGCAGGAGGCAGUGGAAGACAGAAGUGCCUGGCGUGCUCUGGUCCAUGGGGUCACGAAGAGUCGGACACGACUAAACGACUAAACAACAACAACAUAGAAUCUGCCGGUCAAUUCAACCAAAUUAACCAAAACCAAUGAGGUCUGGGAGCUGAGGUGCAUUGACGGGAAGAUUUCCCAUCAAUCCUGAGCCAGCUGCCAGCCGCAUGCUGUGAUCAUACAGGAAGGCCUGAGGAAACUCCUCUGAUCCUCACUGCCUGCUCCUUCAGUAUAUGAACCCGACAUGCGCACCAAGGCCCUAUUGGCCAACAUUCACCCCAAUGCACCCAACUGGCCCAAAACUACUUUGGCUCUGAUAUUAGUCAGAUAUUUUCCAAAAUCCACUCAACCACCUGAGCCAAAUGCCAAUUAACCGAAUUCAAAUAAAAUGCAAGUCAAGCAGACAACACCCAACAGUGGGAAGAAGACGAGAAAGAAGUGAUACGUGUCAAUUAGUGUCAACCCAAAAAUUCCUACUUAAUGAAGGCAACUAGCAGAGCCCACACUGGAAAAUAGGAGGGUGAGUGUCUUAAUGGGUAGACAGAAGAGGGAAGGGAAAAUUGCCCCCACGUGGCUGCCUCCUUUGUGGGGGAGGAGGGUGUGGCAAAUGAGUCCCCCUCACCAUAUGGGAAAGGAAUGGAAUUACAAGUGUGCUAUUAUAUAGUCCUGCUUUCAGACGUCCCACAGGCAUCUGGUUGGCCACCGAGAGAAGAGAAUGCAGGUUGAGAUGGGCCCAUAGCUGUCAACUGUCCCUUAUUUGGCGGAAAAGUCCCUUAUCCCAGCGCCGUGUCCCGCUGCUGUCCCUUAUUGAUGAUGUCCCUUAAAUUUCCCGGUUUUCAAAGGAAACAGCUCCUCUCCCUCCCUCCCUGCCAGCCAGGGAGGAGGGAGGCUCCAACUGUGUUGCUUGGCUGCGUUGCUCACCCAAUAAGAAGUCUAAGAAUGACUGCGGGGUGGAGCUUGCAUGCCUUGUGCCGAUCAAAUCGGCCACGUUGCCUGGGGACUCCCCUUUGCUCAGCGCUUCCCAGCGGAGAGGUGACGGUGGUUUUCCUUGCUGCAUCCCCUUUGCUGGGUUGCUGCGCUAUGGGAACCACCGCUUGAGGCUUCGUUUGGCUGCUGGCUGGGCUUUCUGCCUUUGGCUUGGAGGAGCUCAGAUGUUGAACAUACCAGUGCUUGGGAAAUCCCUUAUUUUUGAGGCUGCUGGUCCCUUAUUUUCAAAUCUGUAAGUUGACAGCUAUGGAUGGGCCACAGGCCUGAUCCAGCAGAGUUAUCUUUGUUUUCAAUGGUGGAGCUCUUGCUUUGCAUGCAAACAAAAAUGCAGAGCUAGAUAGGCCAAUAAUCUAACUAGAUAUAAUGCUGCUUCCUAUGUUAACUCGUUUCUGAAUGUUUUACAGUGCAAAGGGCCCUUUUUUCAAUGAAAAGGGAAAAUAAAAUGCCCAGAAAGAUUUCAGGCAGAGUUUAAUUUCAGCAUUUGAACUUCUGCCAUAUUUGCAUUAGGAGAAAACACUUUCUUUUCUAAGAAGGAUAUGUUUUCUCCACAGUCUCUAAAAUUCAUUAACAACUAACAGGAUUUUGUGCAAAAUGAACUAAAAGACCAAGCACAUAACAUUCUAGCCCCAAAGGAGAAUGGCUUAAAAGGCUGAGUGUAUGAAAAUGGAAGAUGUUGAUGUAAAGUGCUCUCAAACAACCAUUACUAGCACGCUCACUUUCAAAUAGAAUGAGGUGUGCAAAAUAUGUUUUAUAAGCGGUCAUAAAGUCCUAGUUUCAAAAAUCUGCUGCCCUCUUCAGAUAUGUUUGCAUACAAGAGAGAUUCUCUCCCUCUCCCUCUCCCUCCCUCCCUCCCUCCCUCCCUUCCUCUCCCUCUCUCUUUCUCUCACAUUCCCAAGAUUUUUUAAGGUCUUGCAUUCUUUCCCAUAUGAAAAUAAAAAGUUGUAGAAUACUCCAUAUUUAAUUAUUAAAAUCAGACCAACACAAGAGAGCCCUUUCCGCAAUGUUCCAAAUAUGUUCCGAUAUUUUCUACACGUUGAAACUGGGGAGGGGGAAGAAACCUUUUGAAAAAAUCCACGUAAAGGUUGCAAAAUCAAACCUUAGUUUUAAUGAGGAUUUUAUUGGGGUGAGUGAGGAUAAAUAAUGCAGUGGGUUGUAAUCAAGACUAAGUUAGCUAAGAACAUGAGAACAGAACAUGAGAACAACAGACCAAGGGCCCAUUCCAUCUAGAGUUCUGUUUUCCCAAUGGCCAACCAAAUGCCUAUGAGAAACCCACGAGGAGGACAUGAGCACAAUAACAACUGAGUCAAAUCUAGCCUGCAAUGUGGAUCUUGAAAAGGACCUGGCCCUCUUGAGCUCAAAAAGGUUCUUCAUCUCCCAUGUACAGAAAGGAAGGAGCAGGAGGGUCUAUUGUUUUCUGAAGAAGCGAGUAACAGAUAUGGGACCCAAGGGGGCUUACAGAUAAAACAGGAACAGCUAAGCUCUCACAGCCAUGAAUUGUAAACAGAGGUGUUGCGAGGGAGAGGAGCUUGAAGGGAGUGCCUGGAGUGAUGUCUCACAGAGUACACAAGACCAAGAGACAUGAACGGCAAGGGAGCUGCUGCAGUGACCUACAACAUCUGUGCCAUUUCUGUCUUCCUGACUGACAACAUGCAAAGCUACACCUGCAGCAAUUGAAAGCUGGUUGCCUUGCUGGAAGAAAAGGUACAGCAACUUGAGGCUGGCUACCUAUACUUUGUGCUAUCGUGCAAGUCAGAUGAGGAAAUUCUAGAUCAGAGCAGAGUGUCCUGGAACACAGAUGCAGGUGGAGUGCCUCGGAGUGGGGGUGGGGAAUCACUGGAGGAAUGUGACACAAAAAAAGCAGGACGACCAGGGGACCUGCUUUGCUGGGAACUGAGGGGCGCGGGGAGCCACCAGCUUCCCUUUUUAAAAAGUGGCAAAAAAAAACCCUUUCAACAUGGGUUGCCAUACGUUCAGGUUUCCCCAGACAUUUACCAUGGGAAUUGAAAUUCCCAGCCGCCUUUUCCGCUUGCCCAGGAUUUUCCGUACGUAUGGCAGUUGGAAGGGACCUGGAGGAUCAUCUAGUCCAACCCGCUGCAAUGCAGGAAUAUGCAGCUGUCCCUUAUGGUGAUCGAACACGCAACCUUGACAUUAUCAGCACCAUGCUCUAACCAACUGAGCUAUCCAGAUAGUUUUAAUUUGUAUAUGCAAACUGGUGGUGCAUGUGUGUGUGAUGCAGUUCCCUUUUUUCCUGGCAUUUCUCUUUUUUUCUGGCCUUAUUAUUUGUAACACCAAACUAUGGUUUAGCAUUAUAUCUAAACCAACCCCUGGUGAGGGAACCACCCAAUAACAGAGAAGCACAUUUUGGGCAUUUAAAAGACUAGCACCUGGGGUUGUAUGCAGGGACACUCCCUCCUCCCCCCCCCCCCCCGGCAAUGAAAAGGAUUUCUCUCUUAUAGCAGCUCCUAAUCUUUGAAUAAACAUAUCUUCCGAUGAAGCGAAAUGAGCAUGAAAUGGAUUAUGUGCUUACAUGGCUCUCUUAUAUCGCUGGACACUCCAGAGUUUGGGAAAGGACUAAAUAAGCAGGGCUGCUUGGCGUAAUUAAUUAUGCCACAAGCCCAUGACAAAUUCAAAGCAGAAGCAAAAGACCAAAAACGAAAAAGAAAAAAGAAAAAAACGACACAUGUCACUCUUAGCAGUACUUAAUUCCACAGACCAUAGCACAAUUAUAUACUCAGCUGCUCCGAUAAGUAGGUGUUAAAAGAAGGAAGAAUUACGGUAUAACAUUCCUCCUAAUCAUGCCAUGCUGGAAAUGAUGCAAGGAGGGUAUAAUCACUUUGGCCCAGUGAUCUAAGAAAGUGUUGCAACAUUUAAUUCAGGGAUGGUGAACCUCUAGUUCUCCAGAUGUAAUUUGUUUGUUUGUUUCUACAUUUUUAUCCCAUCUUUCCUCCAAGGGUCUCAAGGUGGAGUACAUGCAUCUCUCCACUUCCCUGAUUUUACCCUCAUAAUAACCUUGUGUGGUAGGUUAGCUUGAAAGACUGGCACAAGGUCACCCAGUGAGGUCCUAGUCUGACACUCUUAACUCCCAUCAGCCCCAAAGAGCAUGGUCAAUGGCCAGGAACAAUGGGAGUUCUAGACAAGCAUCUUCUGCAGAGAUGCAGGUACCUCAUCUCAAAUUCAAUGUAUUGAUUGGCUAGAUUACUUGAAUAAUAAUAAAAAACUCUUUGGACUCACCAAACAACCAGUGUUAAUUAUUAUAAUUUUAAUUUAAGUAUUUGGGUUGUGUGGUUUUUUUAAUAGAAACCGUAGGUGGCAGACAUAAUCUUAGAUGAGAUGAUUUCCCCUUCUAUUUUACCCACCAGAAAAUGCCUCUCCAGGAUGGUGCCUGUUGCUAUGGAUCAUUUAAAAACAGAAGAAGAAGAAGAAGAAGAAGAAGAAGAAGAAGAAGAAGAAGAAGAAGAAGGUAUCUCAGAAGCUCAAAUGUUCGCUCUCUUGUAAUUGGCAGCCAAUGCAGUUCCUCUACAACUGUUGCUGGACUCAUCCCAUCGGCCCCCAGAGUGGUGGGAUCUUUAGUGGGUGGGUGUAUUCUGUGCCAUGUCAUUGACGAAUAAUAGUUCAUUAGUGCUGGAUUAAUACCAGACCCUCGACACAGCACACAACUUCAUUAGUUGUUCUGUGAUGCUUCCCUAAUAUUCUUGCAUUAUUGCUGUCCAGAGGACACAAUUUGCAUAACAUGAGACAUGCAAAUCUCUGUAGACACGCAAAUCUCAUAACGGAUACUAGAAUUUAAAUAGCUUCAUCAUAUAAUGCCUCUUGCCACAAUGGGGGAAAGUUUGACCAGGUAAACUAUAUGUCUAUCCAGUUUAGCAUCAAGGACAAACACUUGAUAGGCAACUUCAAGGCCCCUUUUCUCCCUCUUAUUCGAGGAGUUUAACUGGCCUUUGAACAGAUAACCCUACGAACUUUUGAGGACCCCAUAAAAAAUAGAGGCUGGAGUAGAAGAUUAACUUUGUAAUGGUACAUCCAGGCAGUGCCGUAGCUACAGGAGGCUAGCUGGGUUUUUUGCCCCGGGUGAAGCCUCCAGAGGGGCGCCACUGAUGCUCCCAGCCCGUAGGUGUGUGUGUGUGUGUGUGUGUGUGUGUGUGUGCCAAAAUGGGUAUUUGACACAGGAGAAAUAAAGCCAAGUUUCGCCAGUUCAUCAGGUACAUGAACUGACCCGGACCCCAAGAUCAUCAUUUGAGACACUUCUUUAUGUACUCCCUCCAUAAGAGGUCCAGAGGAUGACAACAUGAGAAUGGGCCUUUUCUGUGGUAGCUCCGUGUUUGUGAAAUGUUCUCCCCAGGGAGGCUUGGCUGGCACCUUCAUUACAUAUCUUUGGGCACCAGGCAAAAACAUUCUUUUUCUCUCAGGCCUUUGAAUGAUUAAAGAAUCUAUGGCUUUUUUUGAUAGUGUUGUGUAUUCUUGUGAUUCUCUGAUGAAGAGAUGAUGAUGAUGAUGAUGAUGAUGAUGAUGAUAGCUGGUUCUCUCUAAAGUAAGCCACUCAAACUGCCUGUGACACCUUCAGUCACUGUGAUGAAACAUGCUUUUUAACCCAGGUGAACAAUGGACAAACAAGCAUUAAAUGGUA